rnacentral:lncRNA from 1 species
AUGCACCCACCACCUUUGCCUCAGGGAGUGCCACCACCGCCGCCGCCAGAAGAGGCUCCUCCCCCACUCCCAGAAGAACCAGAACCAAAGAGGCAGAAACUUGAUGAUUAUGCUCUGAUCCCUGAAGAUCAAUUUCUGGCUCAACAUCCUGUAUGGAUCGACCUAGUUAACAAUUAUUAUUGUUUUAAAUGUUUAUAUAGAACUAUGUUUAGCGUCAGUGCUAUUCUAUAUAUCCUAACUGGCUGUCUGUUUUACUGAUUGUAGGGACCUGUUCGUAUCAGUGUAUCUGUUCCUAAUGUUGAUGAAGGAAGUCUCAAGGGACAAGUUCUGGAAAUUACAGUGCAAUCUUUGUCUGAAACCGUUGGUAGUUUGAAAGAAAAAAUUGCAGGGGAGAUUCAGCUCCCUGCUAAUAAGCAGAAAUUGAGCGGAAAACCUGGCUUUCUCAAGGAUAACAUGUCACUUGCCCAUUACAAUCUUGGUGGAGGGGAAACACUUACCCUCACCUUAAGAGAGCGGGG